GAAUAUUGGACAAUGGGGGGAACCCUGAUCCAGCCAUGCCGCGUGUGUGAAGAAGGCCUCUGGGUUGUAAAGCACUUUAAGCGAGGAGGAGGCUACUCUAGUUAAUACCUAGGGAUAGUGGACGUUACUCGCCGAAUAAGCACCGGCUAACACUGGGCCAGCAGCCGCGGUAAUACAGAGGGUUCGAGCGUUAAUCGGAUUUACUGGGCGUAAAGCGUGCGUAGGCGGCCAAGUAAGUCAAAUGUGAAAUCCCCGAGCUUAACUUGGGAAUUGCAUUCGAUACUGGUUGGCUAGAGUAUGGGAGAGGAUGGUAGAAUUCCAGGUGUAGCGGUGAAAUGCGUAGAGAUCUGGAGGAAUACCGAUGGCGAAGGCAGCCAUCUGGCCUAAUACCGACGCUGAGGUACGAAAGCAUGGGGAGCAAACAG
rnacentral:rRNA from 1 species